CAGCCGCCGCGGUAAUACCGGCGGCCCGAGUGGCGGUCACUAUUAUUGGGCUUAAAGCGUCCGUAGCCGGGUUGGUUAGUCUCCCGGGAAAUCUGGCCGCUUAACGGUCAGAAUUCCGGGGGAUAAUGCCAGCCUAGGGACCGGGAGAGGCCGAGGGUAUUCCCGGAGUAGGGGUGAAAUCCUAUAAUUCCGGGAGGACCACCUGUGGCGAAGGCGCUCGGCUGGAACGGGUCCGACGGUGAGGGACGAAGGCCAGGGGAGCAAACCGGAUUAGAUACCCGGGUAGUCCUGGCUGUAAACGAUGCGGACUUUGUGUCGGACAAGCUAUGAGCUUGUCCGGUGCCGGAGGGAAACCGUUAAGUCCGCCGCCUGGGGAGUACGGCCGCAAGGCUGAAACUUAAAGGAAUUGGCGGG
rnacentral:rRNA from 1 species